rnacentral:rRNA from 1 species
CCUACGGGGGGCAGCAGUCGAGAAUCAUUCACAAUGGGGGAAACCCUGAUGGUGCGACGCCGCGUGGGGGAAUGAAGGUCUUCGGAUUGUAAACCCCUGUCAUGUGGGAGCAAAUUAAAAAGAUAGUACCACAAGAGGAAGAGACUGCUAACUCUGUGCCAGCAGCCGCGGUAAUACAGAGGUCUCAAGCGUUGUUCGGAAUCACUGGGCGUAAAGCGUGCGUAGGCUGUUUCGUAAGUCGUGUGUGAAAGGCGCGGGCUCAACCCGCGGACGGCACAUGAUACUGCGAGACUAGAGUAAGGGAGGGGGAACCGGAAUUCUCGGUGUAGCAGUGAAAUGCGUAGAUAUCGAGAGGAACACUCGUGGCGAAGGCGGGUUCCUGGACAUUAACUGACGCUGAGGCACGAAGGCCAGGGGAGCGAAAGGGAUUAGAUACCCGAGUAGUC